UUCAAAAACAUUCACUCUGGAAAGGAGUUAGCGGUCUUAACAUAUGCUGUGACACAGGGACUCAUCUAGUCUGACUCCACCCGUCCAUGUGAGGGUCUGAAGCAUCAUUCACACUGGAGUUUAUCCCUGCAUGGGAGGAUCUGGGAGUGUUUUGUUUAUGAUACAACUUAAACUAUUUAUUUCACUUUUUUAUUUUAUUUUAUUUUAUUUUAUUAUCUUUGCAUAAAGAACUACUUGUUCAGCUCUCUGAAAAUACAGAGUUGGACCGGCCCACAGCAAUACUGGAAACAAACUCAUUUUCAGUUUAGCAAAUGGACUGCAUGCAUCUCAACUCAACUGACAUUAUGGCUGGAUGCAGCGCAUUCUAACAAAAACAUUUCCCUGAUCUGCUCAGAAAUUCAAGGACCUGUGAUCGUGAAACAGAGAGAGACAAAUUGCCCCUGCCUGUAUAAACAUUCCCACACCAUUUUACACCCAGUGCAAUUGUCAAAUUGACCACCACCUGUAUAAACACCCCCAACACCAUUCCACUUCCUGAACAUAAAAACAUAUGACACUCAUAAACAGAUGGUCACACUUCCUGUCAUAAACACAGUCCGGAAACGGAAGGGCAAAAGGUCACACCUGUCAAGUCAUCAAUCAAAGGGGCCAUAAAUCAUUUUGACACAAGCACCCGGGUGUCACAGUUCACAGGUCUGUGGAUUCCUGUUCUGUUGUUUUGUGUGUGUCUGUUUAUGGCUUUCACGUGUGUUGCUGGGCAACUCACGAGUAGCAUCUGCCUGCACAACCGGAGGCUGCAUUUUCAGGACCGCAAUCCAAGGACCGCAUUUCUAGGACCCUUGAUGUUUAAUGACAACCCCACCUACCGAAUUACAGGACCAGUGACCGCAUAUUUUUCUGGAAGAUGGACGAUAUUCAGAGUUUGAGUAUCAAAUAGAGUACAUCAGUUUCAGUUUGGAUCCAGCCUCUUAAGAAGACCUCAGAUGACUAAAACUUUGGAAGAGACGGCGCCAACUCCUGCGAUGACUUCAGAAGAUGCAACAUCUGGAUCAACACGCACAUUCACAUUCUAUAAAUCCUAAUUAUUGUUAAUAUGUAAUUCAUUUUUCCAGGAGCUCUUUGCUUCUACCUCCAAUUAAAUUUCUAACAGUGAUUGUAUGUUAAUCGCCUAAAUUAUUACAUUAUUAGCUAACUGCAGUCUCCAAAUUGUAAUGUUGAUAUGCAUUCUCUGUAAAGCUGCUUUGAAACGAUAUGUAUCGUGAAAAGCGCUAUACAAAUAAAUGUGAAAGAAAUGAAAGAUGAACAUUUUUCUUUUGAUAGACCAUCAUAUAUGGCCUGGCUGUGCUGCAGAAUUUCUCUGUGGGAUGCUGAGAAGGCCUUCUUCUCUGGUCUGGAUUAUCAUCACAGGUAAGAGUAGAAAAUGUUUUUUUUUUGUUGUUGUUUUUUUUUUACAGUGUCCAAUGUAUCAUUUUUUUAAGCAUUAACAGUAUUUCUGUUAACCCAGCAGUGAUCAUGCUCUCCAUUUACUAUUUCAGUGAAGUGGAAGAAUUUAAUAGAGUGAGAGAGAAACAAUUGAGAAAAGUGGGGAGAACAUCCAAUUGGUAGGUAGUGCUGCUGCAUACAGAUUGUGAAUCUGUGCUUUAAAUAUUAAAAGAUCAGGAAAAGUCAUGUCAAUAACAUGUUAUUUCUAUUCAGAUCUCUUGCAUCUCCCUCUAUUUAUUUUUAUUUUCUCAGUUCAGAUGGGCUUUAUUGACAUGAAAGUUUUAUUUUCUUGAGAAUCUUUGUUCCCACAGCAUCAAAAUAAAAUGUUUCCAAAUCUUUGAACAGUUUGCAAUAACAGUAAUAUGAACAUUAAUUGGUAUGAAGAUUGAUAUAGUUAUUUUUGUAUCAUAUAUAAUGUGUGUGCUCUGUGGUCACUAAGAUCUUUUAAAUAUUGAACAUGUUUAACUAAAUGU